rnacentral:rRNA from 1 species
UACAGAGGUCCCGAGCGUUGUUCGGAUUCACUGGGCGUAAAGGGUGCGCAGGUGGGUUGGCAAGUUCGAUGUGAAAGCCCCGGGCUUAACCCGGGAAAGGCAUUGGAUACUGCCGAUCUGGAGGAUUGGAGGGGGGACUGGAAUUCUUGGUGUAGCAGUGAAAUGCGUAGAUAUCAAGAGGAACACCAGUGGCGAAGGCGAGUCCCUGGACAAUACCUGACACUGAGGCACGAAAGCCAAGGGAGCAAACAGG